rnacentral:rRNA from 1 species
GACGAACGCUGGCGGCGUGCCUAAUACAUGCAAGUCGAGCGGACGGACGCGGCGCUUGCUUCUCUGAUGUUAGCGGCGGGCGGGUGAAUAACGCGUGUAUCCCCUCCCUGUCUGACUGGGAUAUCUACGAGACACCGUCGCUAAUACCAGAUAAUCUUUUGAUGCGCGUGGUUCAUUGGUAAGUGUCGGUGUUGCUGUCACUUCUCGCUGGAUCCGCGCUGCAUUAGCUAGUUGUUAAGGUAACGGCUUACCAAGGCAACGCUGCAUAACCGACCUGAGAGGGUGAUCGGCCACACUGGAACUGAGACACGGUCCAGACUCCUACGGGAGGCAGCAGUCGGGAAUCUGCGGCAAUGGGCGAAAGCCUGACGGAGCAAGGCCGCGUGAGUGAUGAAGGUCUUCGGAGCGUAAAACUCUGUUAUUAGGGAAGAACAGAUGUGUAAGUAACUGUGCACAGCGUGACGGUACCUAAUCAGAAAGCCACGGCUAACUACGUG